AGCGAAUGGCUCAUUAAAUCAGUUAUCGUUUAUUUGAUAGUACCUUACUACAUGGAUAACCGUGGUAAUUCUAGAGCUAAUACAUGCUAAAAACCCCAACUUCGGGAGGGGUGUAUUUAUUAGAUAAAAAACCAACGCCCUUCGGGGCUUCUUGGUGAUUCAUAAUAACUUUACGGAUCGCAUGGCCUUGCGCCGGCGACGGUUCAUUCAAAUUUCUGCCCUAUCAACUUUCGAUGGUAAGGUAUUGGCUUACCAUGGUUUCAACGGGUAACGGGGAAUUAGGGUUCGAUUCCGGAGAGGGAGCCUGAGAAACGGCUACCACAUCCAAGGAAGGCAGCAGGCGCGCAAAUUACCCAAUCCCGACACGGGGAGGUAGUGACAAUAAAUACUGAUACAGGGCUCUUUUGGGUCUUGUAAUUGGAAUGAGUACAAUUUAAACCUCUUAACGAGGAACAAUUGGAGGGCAAGUCUGGUGCCAGCAGCCGCGGUAAUUCCAGCUCCAAUAGCGUAUAUUAAAGUUGUUGCAGUUAAAAAGCUCGUAGUUGAAACUUGGGUCUGGCUGGCAGGUCCGCCUCACCGCGUGUACUUGUCCGGCCGGGCCUUCCUUCUGGAGAACCUCAUGCCCUUCACUGGGCGUGUUGGGGACCAGGACUUUUACUUUGAAAAAAUUAGAGUGUUCAAAGCAGGCCUUUGCUCGAAUACGUUAGCAUGGAAUAAUAGAAUAGGACGUGCGGUCCUAUUUUGUUGGUUUCUAGGACCGCCGUAAUGAUUAAUAGGGACAGUCGGGGGCAUCAGUAUUCAAUUGUCAGAGGUGAAAUUCUUGGAUUUAUUGAAGACUAACUACUGCGAAAGCAUUUGCCAAGGAUGUUUUCAUUAAUCAGUGAACGAAAGUUAGGGGAUCGAAGACGAUCAGAUACCGUCGUAGUCUUAACCGUAAACUAUGCCGACUAGGGAUCGGGCGAUGUUCUUUUUCUGACUCGCUCGGCACCUUACUGAGAA
rnacentral:rRNA from 1 species